ensembl:snoRNA
UUCUUUAAAAGUUCCAACACACUUUCCUGCUGGGUGUUCAAAAGACAAUGCAACAGAAACUCAUUAUCUGGCAUCAUUGGUUUCUUGGCUUUGUGCCUGUUAAAUCUGGUAUCAGUAAUGAUUGAGUU